GCACGAAGGGUAGACCUCCCACCCUUGUGUAUUAUUACUUUGUUGCUUUGGCGAGCUGCCUUCGGGCCUUGUAUGCUCGCCAGAGAAUACCAAAACUCUUUUUAUUAAUGUCGUCUGAGUACUAUAUAAUAGUUAAAACUUUCAACAACGGAUCUCUUGGUUCUGGCAUCGAUGAAGAACGCAGCGAAAUGCGAUAAGUAAUGUGAAUUGCAGAAUUCAGUGAAUCAUCGAAUCUUUGAACGCACAUUGCGCCCCUUGGUAUUCCGGGGGGCAUGCCUGUUCGAGCGUCAUUUCAACCCUCAAGCUUAGCUUGGUAUUGAGUCUAUGUCAGUAAUGGCAGGCUCUAAAAUCAGUGGCGGCGCCGCUGGGUCCUGAACGUAGUAAUAUCUCUCGUUACAGGUUCUCGGUGUGCUUCUGCCAAAACCCAAAUUUUUCUAUGGUUGACCUCGGAUCAGGUAGGGAUACCCGCUGAACUUAAGCAUAUCAAUAAGCCGGAGGAAAGAUCAUUACGAGUUUA
rnacentral:rRNA from 1 species